GCUUCUUAGAGGGACUAUCGCCGUUUAGGCGACGGAAGUUUGAGGCAAUAACAGGUCUGUGAUGCCCUUAGAUGUUCUGGGCCGACCGCGCGCUACACUGAUGUAUUCAACGAGUAUAUAGCCUUGGCCGACAGGCCCGGGUAAUCUUGGGAAAUUUCAUCGUGAUGGGGAUAGAUCAUUGCAAUUGUUGGUCUUCAACGAGGAAUGCCUAGUAAGCGCGAGUCA
rnacentral:ncRNA from 1 species